GUCACACCCUGGCCUAACCAAAAUAGAGAAUAAAAAGCCUCUCUAUGGCCAGGGCGUGACAGUAUGUAAACGUCCGACUUCAACUGUAGCAGCAAACAGGCAUGUAACAUUAUGCAGGGGUGUCAAACUCAUUUCAGACUUCUGAUUUUGACCAUUGGAAGUGUCUAUUUCUUCUGCAUCCGAAGAUACCAAUUCUUAAUCAGAGAGGUACGUGGGGCUGCUUUAAUCGACAUCCACAUCAUCGGUGCCCGGAGGGCAUGUAACGGCUGUUGGAAGGAGAGGACCAAAACGCAGCAUGUCGCCUGGGGAGUUGCCUGGCCAUCGUCUGCCCUAGUGGAGGCAGUACCAGGAAGAACUACUCCUUUAGCAACGACGAGGUGUGGCAGACCGACUGGGAGAACCAGAGGCUGCUGCGUCAGUUGUCGCGCCCCUCGACCCACUCGCGACCAUGCAGCACUAGUAGCUCCCGUAGGAGAUCCAAUGGAGGAUGAGGGAGUCCGCCCCCUGUCUGCCUCUACCACAGUGCCCUCAACAGGCAGCGUGAGCAGCAGCGCAUCGAGAAGGAGGACCUGGUGUGUGUUCUUCUCUUUUUGUAUGUUUAACUUAUCUUUUGUCAUUGGGUGUUUGGCUUUAUUGUUUCAACGUUACAUUGCGUUUAUUAGGAUUUUUGUUUAUUUCAAGCUCAAAUGAGUCAAGACUUGCUUCAAAGGGGAAAUACAGUGUCGUGAAAAAGUAUUUGCCGAUUUUCGGAUUUUCUCUAUUUUUGCAGCUAACAACCAGUUUUUGAGUGUAAGGGGGCAAUUACUUUUUCACACAGGGACAUUGGGUGUUGCGUAACUUUGUUUAUGAAAUUAAUGAAAUAGGUAUGUAAUUGUUGUGUUAUUUGUUCACUCAAGUUCCCUUUAUCUAAUAAUAGGUUUUGGUUGAAGAUCUGAUAACAUUCCGUAUUAAACAUAUGCAACAGUAGAGAAAAUUAGAAAGUGGGCAAAUACUUUUUCACAGUACUGUAGCUUGAAAAAGUUACCCUUUACUGCCUAGAACUCUUCCAUGUUAUGUACAGACUAAAAGUUAUAUGUCCUUAAAUGAGGCAUUGCUGGCUAAACCCAAAGUCCCAGACAAUCCUCCAAAGGUCAAUAUUUAUGUGAAUUUUCAGGAAAACAUAUGUAAUGGACAUUUCGGUUCCAUUUUCACACAAACUGCUGUCUGCGCACACACUUUUAGUCCAAAAACUAUAAUCAUCUACCUGUGAGGCAGUGGAGGCUCAUCAGAGGAGGAAAGGGAGGACCAUCCUCCUCAUUGAAUUUCAUAAAAAUUAAAUGUGUUAAACUUUUAAAAAGUUAUCCUUUUUAGGUUAAACUAUACUAAA
ensembl:lncRNA